AAAGAGAGGUGAAGAUUGAAGAGGAUGGCCAUUGGCCAAUGGCCAUUGGCGUCUGGACGUCUGACGAAUCUGUGGGUCCCUCCACCCUGAAGUGCAGAGGUCACAUCGGACAUCGGAAAGGGCGGAAAGACACCCUCGCCAGCCCCGCCCCGAGGUGCCCUGCGACAGCCUGGUUUUGGACCUCGCCUUCUGGAGAGAAAGAGGAAGGUGGUGACGCGGUAGUGCAGCUGGAACACCUUGUUGUCGAUCAGCACCUGGCCGGGCUGCUUCUUCCUGAUGACGGCGGCCGCGUCGCCGAGCAGGGCGGUGAUGGCCAUCCUGGUCGGCUGGGCUCUCUGCGCGAGGAACAGACGCGGGCGCAGAUUCAGACAGGGAUGUGGCUGGCAGUAUCCGCCCCGCCAAUAGUACCGGAUCGAAAACGUCGUGGAGGGAGCCGUGCGCUGCAGCGCACGGUAGCCGCACCAAGCGCAGCUCCGGCCAGAGAGGCGUCGGUGUGAAAUAACACCCGCCCGCCGGCUCCUUUGUUCCAUUGUUGGUAGCGCGCUAGAUCGGGUUGCAAAUUUAGGAGGCAAGCGAAAUGAAGCCGUCUGAACAAUCACUGGUGCUUGCCAAUUUGUGAAGCUCAAUACGAUAAGGACGGGGCUGA